rnacentral:rRNA from 1 species
GCUGGCUGCCGCAUGACUGCCGGGCUUGGGGUGGGAGAGGGCGCCGGUAUUCCGGGGUAGGGGUAAAAUCCACUGAUCCCGGGAGGACCACCAGUGGCGAAGGCGGCCGCCCAGAACACGCCCGACGGUGAGGGACGAAAGCUGGGGGAGCGAUCGGGAUUAGAUACCCCCGGUAGUCCCAGCCGUAAACGAUGCGGGCUUGGUGUCGGGCUGGCCACGAGCCAGCCCGGUGCAGAAGGGAAACCAUUAAGCCCGCCGCCUGGGGAGUACGGCCGCAAGGCUGAAAACGCCGUGCAGUUGGAGCUCAUUUCACAUAGUUUUUGGAUGUUUACCUCAAGUUUGUAAACACGUAUCCGACCGCACGGCGUCAGCAGACUUAAAGGAAUUGGCGGGGGAGCACCACAAGGGGUGGACGUUGCGGCUUAAUUGGAGUCAACGCCGGAAACCUUACCGGGGGCGACAGCAGGAUGAUGGCCAGGUUAAAGGCCUUGCCUGACGAGCUGAGAGGAGGUGCAUGGCCGUCGCCAGUGCGUGCCGUGAGGUGUCCUGUUAAUUCAGGCAACGGACGAGACCCGCGCCCCCAGUUGCGACCGGGCCGGAAGGCGCCGAGCACUCUGGGGGGACUGCCCCGGAAACGGGGAGGAAGGAGCGGGCCACGGCAGGUCAGUAUGCCCCGAAUCCCCCGGGCCGCACGCGACGUUCAAUGGUGGGGACAGUGGGCUGCGACCCCGAAAGGGGAAGCCAAUCCCUAAACCCCACCUCAGUAGGGAUCGAGGGUUGCAACUCGCCCUCGUGAACGCGGAAUCCCUAGUAACCGCCCGUUACCACCGGGCGGUGAAUACGUCCCCGCUCCUUGCACACACCGCCCGUCAA